CAAUAGCGUAUAUUAAAGUUGUUGCGGUUAAAAAGCUCGUAGUUGGAUUUCUGUUGAGGACGGCCGGUCCGCACUAUGUGCGUGUAUCUGGUUCGGCCUCGGCAUCCUCUCGAAAGCCGUAUCUGCGCUUGACUGCGUGGUUCGGACUUCGGGACUUUUACUUUGAGGAAAUUAGAGUGUUCACGGCAGGCAAGCGCCUUGAAUAUAUUAGCAUGGAAUAAUAAUCUAGGAUCUUGGUCCUAUUUUGUUGGUUUCUAGGGCUAAGAUAAUGAUUAAUAGGGACAAUUGGGGGCAUUCGUAUUAACGCGUCAGAGGUGGAAUUCUUGGAUUGCGUUACGACGAACUACUGCGAAAGCAUUUGCCAAGGAUGUUUUCAUUGG
rnacentral:rRNA from 1 species